GAUGAACGCUGGCGGCGUGCUUAACACAUGCAAGUCGAACGAUGAAGCCCAGCUUGCUGGGUGGAUUAGUGGCGAACGGGUGAGUAACACGUGAGCAACCUGCCCCUGACUCUGGGAUAAGCGCUGGAAACGGCGCCUAAUACUGGAUAUGUCCCGUCACCGCAUGGUGUGCGGGUGGAAAGAUUUUUCGGUUGGGGAUGGGCUCGCGGCCUAUCAGCUUGUUGGUGAGGUAAUGGCUCACCAAGGCGUCGACGGGUAGCCGGCCUGAGAGGGUGCCCGGCCACACUGGGACUGAGACACGGCCCAGACUCCUACGGGAGGCAGCAGUGGGGAAUAUUGCACAAUGGGCGAAAGCCUGAUGCAGCAACGCCGCGUGAGGGAUGACGGCCUUCGGGUUGUAAACCUCUUUUAGCAGGGAAGAAGCGAAAGUGACGGUACCUGCAGAAAAAGCACCGGCUAACUACGUGCCAGCAGCCGCCGUAAAAC
rnacentral:rRNA from 1 species